CUAAUAUCCAGACCCACAAUAUCCUAAAGAAUGUCCUUUACAAGCUCCUUGGUGGCCAUGUUUUUUUAAAGUCGUAUUAAAGCUACUCUGCAUUAAUAUGCUGCAUGUUUGUAGCAUUAGUAAAUGAUUGGUUAGUAAAGUAGCGAGCUGCUGUGUUUGUUAGUAACUCAGCACCGUCAACACUGAGGUUACCAGUGGAGCCACAGGCAGGAGUUCAGUGCGCAUGCGCUCCACGUUUCUUCACCUCCCAUUCCAACUAAACCCCCUGAGAGAGAGAUCAGCCGCUCUGCUGUUCACUGUGAGCUGAACCCCAGACCCUGCUGACCCAGAGUAAGAGAAAGAGAGGAGGGCUGGUCAUGACCAGGCAGACUGGAGAGGGAAGAUAAUGAGUCUCUGCUAAACACCAGAAAAAAACAAUAAGUUUCCAAACUCUAAACAAGUUGUAAACCCAGAGUUCUGAGCUGUGAGAGUAGAUCUGACUUCAGGGAGAAGAUGGGCUGUUCAUCCUCCAGCUCUCAGACUGUGGAUCAGGAAAACAGACCAGGCUCUAAACCUGAGGAGGCUGGUGAAGACACGGAGUUUGUCUCCAGUAAUGGAAUACUAGCAGAUGAUGCAGAAACUAUAGCAGACCAGAUGCAGCUGCCAGUGCAGAGUGCCCUGUCGGAAGAACUAGGCCCUGCAGCAGAAGACAGCGAGUUUUCUGCUGCCAUUGAGGCUCUGGAGACAGUGGAAGUGGUGGCAGAGCAGGCUGAUCUGAUUGCGAGUCUAGAGACUACAGCACCUGAACAGCCAGCAGCUUCCACUGAAACGCCACAGGAAGAUACUGUGGUCAUUGCUGCUUUGGAGGAGCUGAGUCUUGCAGAACCAGCUGAAGCUCCUGCACCUGUUGAGGGUGUUGAAGCAGAAUCUGUACAGCCAGUUGAGGCCACGCCUGCUGAGGAACCAGUGGAAGUGGCUGCUUUAGUAGAAGCAGUUCCGGCACAAGAGCCUGAAGUUAUACCAGCUGCAGAAGAAACCACUGUAGAAUUAGCUACUGUUGCUCCAGAACCUGCACCUGCACCAGAGCCCACUAUUGAUGUAGAACCUGUUUUAGCUGCUGAACCUGUGCCAGUUCCAGAGGUCAGCCCAGUGGCAGAACCAACAGCAGCUGCAGAACUUGCCCCAGCUGCAGAACCUGCCCCAGUUGAAGAACCUGUCCCGGCUCCAGAUCCCAUUGUGGCUGUAGAAUCCACACCAGCCCCUGAAGAAACCUGUGUAGCACCAGUAGCAGAUUCCAGUGCAGUGACAGAGCCUGCAGCAGCACCAGCACCAGCACCAGCGGAACCACCACAACCAGAACCUAUUGCCCCAGCUGCUUCUGAUCCAGAGCCAGUUCAUGUGGAGGUAGCAGUGGCUGCAGUAGCAGCAGAAGUAGUUCUACAGGCUGCACAAGAAUGUGCAGUCCUCACACCAACAAGUGCAGAUACAAAUACCCCUCAGCAACCUGCUGCGGAGGCCCCAGCGGCCCCUCAAGGAGGUGUGGGGGAGGGUCCAGCCUCUCAGGCUGAGGCUGAAGCAGACAUUGCUGGUAUUAACUUUUAUUUAUUAAACUUUACACACCCUGCUUUAUCUCUACAGCUUCAACCACAGUUUCUCCACUGAGUAAAACACGUGUGCUGAGCCAAUCACGUACUUUUAUGUGUUCCUGUGUGUUUCAGUUGCUGCUGAAGAAUGAUGGAGCACUUCAGACACUGCUGAGAGACCAGCAAAAUGGGGGAUAAAACGAGGAUGAGAACAGAGGUCAACAUGUGUCCCUCUUUCAUACACAGACAGUAGUGGGAAAUGGUUAGCCCUGAUACAAUGGUGCCUUUAUUCCUGUGAGUCUGUGACUGUUUCUACUGAGCAUAGUGUGAGCAAGUGUGGCGCAAAGAAAUAAAACUCUUCAUAACUCGCUUUCUCUGAGGAAA
ensembl:lncRNA